rnacentral:lncRNA from 1 species
UUGCACGAAAGAAAGAUUCGCCUUCGUUUGAGUGAAUCAACCAUCGAGUCAUGUAGUGGUUGCUUCAAAAAAUGUGCAAUGUAUGAUAUGAAUUCAUGAUGCUUGGAGAUCUAUACGGCACGUGAUUGAAAGGCCGAUUUCAUAAAAGAAGAUCGACCAUUCUUAUGUACGAAGGAUACAUAAAUGGCUUCUCAGCUCUGAGAUUAGAACACGGCGAGUAGGGAUGGAAA